rnacentral:rRNA from 1 species
AUAUAGGUCAAGCUACAAAGGGCGUAUGGUGAAUGCCUUGGCAUCAGGAGCCGAUGAAGGACGUGAUAAGCUGCGAUAAGCUUCGGGUAGGCGCACAUAGCCUGGGAUCCGAAGAUCUCCGAAUGAGGAAACUCACAUGGGAAACCCCAUGUAUCAUUAAGUGAAUACAUAGCUUAAUGAAGGUAACCCAGGGAACUGAAACAUCUAAGUACCUGGAGGAAGAGAAAGAAAAAUCGAUUUUCUUAGUAGCGGCGAGCGAAAGGGAAAGAGCCCAAACCGGAAACUUGUUUCCGGGGUUGUGGACAUAGCAUAAAAGUGGAGGCUAUUGUAAUUGAAGAGAACUGGAAAGUUCCACCGUAGAAGGUAAUAGUCCUGUAAGUGAAACGAGAAGACCACGAGUUAUGAUCCAGAGUACCACGAGACACGUGAAACCUUGUGGGAAGCAGGGAGGACCACCUCCCAAGGCUAAAUACUACCUGAUGACCGAUAGUGAAGCAGUACCGUGAGGGAAAGGUGAAAAGAACCCCGGGAGGGGAGUGAAAUAGAACCUGAAACCGUGUGCCUACAACCGCUCAGAGCCCCUUAUGAGGGUGAUGAGGUGCUUUUUGUAGAAC